GAUCAUGACUCAGGAUGAGCGCUAGCUACAGGCUUAACACAUGCAAGUCGAGGGGCAGCAUUUUAGUUUGCUUGCAAACUAAAGAUGGCGACCGGCGCACGGGUGAGUAACACGUAUCCAACCUGCCGAUAACUCUGGGAUAGCCUUUCGAAAGAAAGAUUAAUACCGGAUGGCAUAGGAUUAUCGCAUGAUAAUCCUAUUAAAGAAUUUCGGUUAUCGAUGGGGAUGCGUUCCAUUAGG
rnacentral:rRNA from 1 species